rnacentral:rRNA from 1 species
GUCUACGGCCAUACCACCCUGAACAUUCCUGAUCUUGUCUGAUCUCAGAAGCUAAGCAGGGUUGGGCCUGGUUAGUACUUGGAUGGGAGACCACCUGGGAAUACCAGGUGCUGUAGGUU